rnacentral:rRNA from 1 species
AUGAACGCUAGCUACAGGCUUAACACAUGCAAGUCGAGGGGCAGCGCAGUGUAGCAAUACAUGGGCGGCGACCGGCGCACGGGUGCGUAACGCGUAUCCAACCUUCCCGUUACUCAGGGAUAGCCUUCCGAAAGAUGGAUUAAUACCCGAUGGUGUGGUCACUCCGCAUGAGGUUUCCACUAAAGGUUUUUCCGGCCGCGGAUGAGGAUGCGUAUGAUUAGGUAGUAGGCGGGGUAACGGCCCACCUAGCCUUCGAUCAUUAGGGGUUCUGAGAGGAAGGUCCCCCACACUGGAACUGAGACACGGUCCAGACUCCUACGGGAGGCAGCAGUGAGGAAUAUUGGUCAAUGGACGGAAGUCUGAACCAGCCAAGUAGCGUGCAGGAUGACGGCCCUAUGGGUUGUAAACUGCUUUUAUGCGGGGAUAAAUGAUCCUACGUGUAGGAUUUUGCAGGUACCGCAUGAAUAAGGACCGGCUAAUUCCGUG